rnacentral:sRNA from 1 species
ACGCGCUUCGGCGCACCCAGAAACCCUUUGUGAACUUAUACCUAUCUGUUGCCUCGGCGCAGGCCGGCCUCUUCACUGAGGCCCCCUGGAAACAGGGAGCAGCCCGCCGGCGGCCAACUAAACUCUUGUUUCUAUAGUGAAUCUCUGAGUAAAAAACAUAAAUGAAUCAAAACUUUCAACAACGGAUCUCUUGGUUCUGGCAUCGAUGAAGAACGCAGCGAAAUGCGAUAAGUAAUGUGAAUUGCAGAAUUCAGUGAAUCAUCGAAUCUUUGAACGCACAUUGCGCCCUCUGGUAUUCCGGAGGGCAUGCCUGUUCGAGCGUCAUUUCAACCCUCAAGCCUGGCUUGGUGAUGGGGCACUGCCUUCUAACGAGGGCAGGCCCUGAAAUCUAGUGGCGAGCUCGCUAGGACCCCGAGCGUAGUAGUUAUAUCUCGUUCUGGAAGGCCCUGGCGGUGCCCUGCCGUUAAACCCCCAACUUCUGAAAAUUUGACCUCGGAUCAGGUAGGAAUACCCGCUGAACUUAAGCAUAUCAUAA